rnacentral:rRNA from 1 species
UACGGAAGGCAGCAGUGGGGAAUAUUGGACAAUGGGCGAAAGCCUGAUCCAGCCAUGCCGCAUGAGUGAAGAAGGGCCUUCGGGUUGUAAAGCUCUUUUAGUGAGAAAGAUAAUGACGGUACUCACAGAAGAAGUCCUGGCUAACUCCGUGCCAGCAGCCGCGGUAACUACGGAGAGGGCUAGCGUUAUUCGGAAUUAUUGGGCGUAAAGAGCGCGUAGGCUGAUUAGUAAGUUAAAAGUGAAAUCCCAAAGCUUAACUUUGGAAUUGCUUUUUAAAACUGCUAGUCUAGAGAUUGAAAGAGGAUAGAGGAAUUCCUAGUGUAGAGGUGAAAUUCGUAAAUAUUAGGAGGAAACACCAGUGGCGAAGGCGUCUAUCUGGUUCAAAUCUGACGCUGAGGCGCGAAGGCGUGGGGAGCAAACAGGGAUUAGAUACC